GUGAGCCUGGGGUGAGAAUCCGGUGUAGUACCGUGGGUGCAAACAUUGAUCGGAAUCAUUGGGCGUAAAGCGAACGUAGGCGGUGUUGUAUGGCGGAGGUUAAAGGCCGUGGCGGAACUGAGGAAGUGAAUCCGAAACUGGCAUGUUAUAGGACUAAAGAAGGUCGCGGAAUUCCCGGUGUAGGGGUGAAAUUCGUAGAUAUCGGGAGGAAGACCGGUGGCGAAGGCGGCGACCUGGGUAGAGACUGACGCUGAGGUGCGAAAGCGUGGGGAGCAAACAGGAUUAGAUACCCCAGUAGUC
rnacentral:rRNA from 1 species